UGUAGCCUUGGUCUGCGCCACCGUCUCUGCUCGGGGCACCUCGGGCCACCAUGGCCACCCCACAGCCACCAGCGCCCACCUUAUGGCCUCCACCACCCUCUCACCCCCACCCUGCAGCCACCCUGCUCUCCACUGAUUUGGGCUAGUGCCAACAAUGUCAAGUAACAGGGUAGUCUGGAAACGCUCUUCCUUAGGUCACUAUCUUCUUGGAUUUGCUGUGACUUUUCUGCUCUUUUGAUGGCAGGGAGCCUGCCUUGAUCUCUGCAAUCAGGAAUGUGGCUGAGCAAAUGCAGCUUGUACCUGCUGGAUGGAUACACCUUCCAGAUGCUCUGUUGCUAGAAGGUUCCUGGCAGUGCAGGGAAAGGUGGCUCUGCACAUGGAGCCUCCACAUAAUGGGCUCAAAACAUCUGGUCCAGUGGUUAAAAGCUGUUCACAGGGGUGACUGGACCCCACUAAGCAUUCUUUCGUCUGUAGUGAAUAUUUCACCAAAAACAGCUCUAGGAAAGGCUGGAGGAUCAGUACUAUGUGCUCAAGCCACGGCCACACCCUCCAUCUUCCACCUGACCGAGAAGGGGGGGCUGAAGGCCAUGGCCGCCCCAGGAGAAAGGACACUAGGAAGGCCACCGGGGGCCUGAGGAACAUGCGUGUGAAGCAGAUGGGAAAGGAGCUGCAGGUUCAUUGUGGUCCUUGAGGGAAAAGCUGAGGGCCCAGCCGUGGUCCCGCAAGUGGAAGUAACCUGCUCUGCAGGGUGAACACGCACCCAGUGCCGCCCAGGAAGCUGCCAGUCAGUAUUGGGCACAGAGUCUCUGGAAGGAACUCCAGGAGACAGUGUGGCCUCCACAGCAUUAGGCAGCCAAGGAGAUGCAAACAAGUCUGCUGUAGAUGCUGGCGAUGAGACCCCCUCUUCCCAGCCAGGGCCUGCUGGGUAAGAGUGGCAUUUCCGUGGGUGACUUUAUCCCUCAGGAUCGGGGCAUGCAGAUUUAUUGGCUGGCUUCCUUCUUACAGUUUCUUCUCAGAGCACACUCAAGAGAGGCCAUCUGUCCCUUGAGAGGCUGUUGACCAAAAGAGGCUGAAGAGAGAUGUGGAGCUCAGCUGCAGCGGGACCAGCCUGGGGCCUGAUGAGAGCUUGGACCAGAACCCCCACGUUCAUCAUUCACAAUGAUGCCUCAGAAACCCUCCCAGAGCCCCUCCACCCUCCGACGGAUGUCACCCUGAAGCCAGCUGCAGAAGCUGUGUGGGGCGAGCACAGCGACACCAGCCCUACGUCCCUCAGCUGCGUCAUCCUGUCAGCACUGGGGGCCCAAGAUCUCCUCGACUGCUGCACUCCUACUGCUUCUGCUCCCAGGGGAACAGGAGCACGGGCGCCGCCUGCGGGAGCAGGUGGAGAAGAACGGCGAGCUGAAGAGGGUCAGCCGCCGACAGCCAGGUGCACACGCUGCAGGAGGAGCUGGACGAGCUAAAGGAAGGGGGCUCCCUGCCUUAGCAGCCUGCUGCCCCCAGCCGAGAUUCUGUACAACAGAACAGCCGGGCCGGUGGCCUGCAAGUUCCAGGGUUUGAGAGGUUUGCCCUCCAGAAAGCCGGUGAUGAUUGGCCUUCUCACAGGACGUGGUACACUGUCCCUGAGCUGUGAGUGUCACAACGUUGUAAAUCCUCUGGCAGUUCUGUCAGGGCCCGUCGUUGGCAUUUCUGUGACCAGUGAGGGCGAACAUUUUUCCGUGUUCAUUAUCUGUCACUUCCCUGACUGUGCUGUCGCCUGCCUUGCUCACUGAGCUCUGAACCUUCCUGGUGGAACGUUCACCAGAGAGGACGUCCAGAGAGGACGUUCACUCUCUAUCCAGUGUGGUUGCACGUUCCCUCAGUGUACCCCUUGAGUACUUGCUUCAAAAAUAUGUUUUCUUCACAUUCUUUGAUUCUUUGUAUAUAUAAUCUAGAUUUAACCUGGAGCUUUAAAAAUGUUUUAUUGUGGAAAACCUUUAACAUACACAAAUUAAACAGAAAAGUGUGAUAGCCCCCCAUGUCCCUAUUACCCAGCUUCAACACUUAUUAAUAUUCUGAUAUUCUUGUUUCCUCCAUAUUUCUACCCACUCCCUACCUUCCAUUGAUUAAUUUUUAAUUAAUAGAUUGUUUUUAGGAAAGUUUUAGAUGGACAGAGAAAUUCAGCAGACAGUGCGGAGCGUUUCUCCCUCCUCCCCCACAGUUUCCCCUACUGUUAACAUCUUGCAUGACCACCUGUGUUAGUGCGGUUCAUUCCUUACAAGUGAGGAGCUGAUGCGGAUACAGUGUUCGUAACCAAGUCAGUGGUUUACAUUAGGGUUCACUGUCUCACUGUCACGUACUUGGAUUUUGACAAAUGCAUAAUCUCAUGUAUCCACCGUGACAGUAUCCUACAGAAGAGUUGGAUUGCCCUAAAAUCUCUGUGCUCUGCCUCUUCAUCCCUUGCCUUCCAACUCCUGGCAACACUGAUCUUUAUACUGUUUCUAUGGUUUUGCCUUGUCUAGAAUGUCAUGUGAUUGGAAUAUAUGAAAACUAUGGAACAGAGUAUAUAACCUUCUCCAGUUGGGUUCUUUCACUUAGCAAUAUGUAUUUAAAAGUCCACUAUGUCUUUUUGUGGCUUGAUAGCUAAUUUCUUUUUUUUUUCUUUUUGUAUAUUGAGUUAAAAUAUACAUAACAAAAAGCGUGACAUUUUAACCAUUUUUAAGUGUAUACUUCAGUGGCGUUAAACACAUUUACGCUGUUGCACAGUCAUCGCCACCAUUCAUCCCCAUAACUCUUAUAAAUCUGAAACUCUAUACCUAUUAAAGAGUAAGUCUCCCUUCUCCCCUCCCCCCAGCUCUUGGCAGCCACCAUUCCACUUUCCAUCUCUGUGAUUUUGACUAAUCUCAGUUCCUCAUGUUAGUGGAAUCAUACAGUAUUUUUCUUUUUGUGACUGGCUUAUUUCUGUUAGCAUAAUGUCCCCAAGGUUAAUACACAUGUAGCAUAUUGCAGAGUUUGCUUCCUUUGUAAUGCUGAAUAAUAUUCUGUUGUAUGGAUAUACUACAUUUUGUGUAUCCAUUCAUGUGUCAGUGGACACUGGGGUUGUUUCCACGUUUUAGCUAUUGUGAAUAAUACUGCUAUAAACAUGGGUGUACAAAUAUCUCUUUAAGGCUCUGCUUUCAGAUCUUUUGGGUGUACAUCCAGAAGUGGAAUUGCUGGAUCAUGUGAUAAUUCUAUGUUCAAUUUUUUGAGGAACAUUCAUACUGUUUUCCAUAACGGCUGCACCAUUUUACAUUCCUAUCAACAGUGUACAUGGGUUCCCAUUUCACCGCAUCCUGUCCAACACAUGUUGUUUUCUGUCUUUCCUGUAGCACUCAUCUUAGUGGGUGUGAGGUGGUGUCUCAUUGUGGUUUUGAUUUGCAUUUCCCUAAUGGUUAGUGGUGUUGAGCGUCUUUUCAUGUGCUUAUAUGCCAUUCAUAAGUCUUUGGAGAACUGUCUCUUCAAGUCCUUUGCCCAUACUUGAAUUGGCUUGUUUUUUAGUUGUUCAGUUUUAAGACAUCUCUGUAUAUUGCGGAUACCAGUCUCUUGUCAGAAAUAUGAUUUGCAAAUAUUUUCACCCACUCUGUGGGUUGCCUUUUUACUCUAUGCACAGUGCCUCUUGAUGUACCAACUUAUGAAAUUCGUGGAGUCCAAUUUGUCCGUUGUUUUUCUUUUGUUACCUGUGCCUGUGGUGUCAUAUCCAAGAAAUCAUUGGCAAGUCCGGUGUCAUAAAGAUUUUGUCCUGUUUUCUUCUAAGAGUUUUCUUAUUUUAGGUCUUACAUUUAUAUCCUUGAGUUAAUUUUUGUAUAUGGUGUUGGAUAAGGGUCCAAGUUCAUUCUUUUGCAUGCAGAUAUCCAGUUUUCCCAGUACUAUUUGUUGACAAGAAACCUUUCUCCAUUGCAUGGUUUGGCACCCUUGUCAAAAAUCACUUGACCAUAUAUGUGAGGGUUUGUUUCUGGGCUAGCUAUUCUAUGCCAUUGGUCUCUAUGUCUGUCUUUAUGCCAA